AUUGAACGCUUGCGGAAUGCUUUACACAUGCAAGUCGAACGGUAGAGGGGGCAACCCCUCGAGAGUGGCGAACGGGUGAGUCAUAUAUCGGAACGUGCCCAGUCGUGGGGGAUAACGUAGCGAAAGUUACGCUAAUACCGCAUACGAUCUAAGGAUGACAGCGGGGGAUCGCAACACCUCGCGCGAUUGGAGCGGCCGAUAUCAGAUUAGGUAGUUGGUGGGGUAAAGGCUCACCAAGCAAACGAUCUGUAGCUGGUCUGGGAGGACGACCCGCCAGAGUGGAACUGAGACACGGUCCAGACUCCCACGGGAGGCAGCAGUGUGGAAUUUUGGACUAUGGACGAAAGCUUGACUCGUCCAUUCCGCGUGCAGGGUGAAGGCCCUCGGGUUGUAAACUGCUUUUGUACAGGACGAAAAGGUUUCUACUAAUACUAGGAGCUCAUGACGGUACUGUAAGAAUAAGCACCGGCUAACUACGUGCCAGCCGCCGCCGUAA
rnacentral:rRNA from 1 species